UACCUUCAUCUUCACUUAACCCCUUCUUAACAAAGAGCAAUUCUAUAUUUCUAUAGAAAAUUUUAUGUUAAAACUAGUAAUAAGAAGCUAGCCCUUCUCUUUAAUGCAAACUUAUAUCAGCCAGGACACCCCACUGAUUAUUAACGUCCCUAAAACCAUUGUAAUAACUAAUCAAGAAAAUAUUACCUUCUCUUACGUUAACCUAACACAAGAGCAUUUUAAGAAAGAUUAAAAGAAAAAGAAGGAACUCGGCAAAUUUUAGCCUCGCCUGUUUACCAAAAACAUCGCCUCUUGAGUAUUAAUAAGAGGUCAUGCCUGCCCAGUGACUCUGUUCAACGGCCGCGGUAUCCUAACCGUGCGAAGGUAGCGUAAUCACUUGUUCUUUAAAUGAGGACUAGUAUGAAUGGCCCCACGAAGGCUACACUGUCUCCUUUUUCUAAUCAAUGAAACUAAUCUUCUCGUGAAGAAGCGAGAAUAAUUUUAUAAGACGAGAAGACCCUAUGGAGCUUUAAACAACUGAAAUAUUUGCUUUAACUUUAUAUUCUUCCCGAGUUUUCCCACAUUCAAGCAUUUUAAUUUCUAGUUUUAGGUUGGGGUGACCACGGAGCAAAAUUUAACCUCCAUGACGAAUAAAGCAUUUUCCUUUAAACUAAAAGCUACUACUUUAAGCAUCAACAAAUUGACUUUCAUUGACCCAAUAUUUUGAUCAACGAACCAAGUUACCCUAGGGAUAACAGCGCAAUCUACUUCGAGAGCUCAUAUCGACAAGUAGGUUUACGACCUCGAUGUUGGAUCAGGGUAUCCUAGUGGUGCAGCCGCUACUAAAGGUUCGUUUGUUCAACGAUUAAAACCCUACGUGA
rnacentral:rRNA from 1 species